CCGGGCGGAGGCCCCAGCGGUGGACGGGAUUCCGCGGCUUCCUGGCUGGGGGUUCUGAGAUUCUGUGACUCGGCGACCGGCUGAGACCGAGUUCCUGCAAGUCCCGGCUUCUUGCGGCCUGUCCUGCGCGGUGCCAGUGCCCAAGGCCGGAAAAAGGUAGUUUAUCUUGAAGCAAUCAUACCAGUUAUUCUAGAAAGGCACUAUCCAGUCUGCUGUUAAAAGCUGUGGGUGAGAACUUCCUGGUGGUGCAGUGGUGAAGAAUCCGCCUACCAGUGCAGGGGACACGGGUUCGAGCCCUGGUCCGGGAAGAUCCCACAUGCCAAGGAGCAACUAGGCCCGUGUGCCACAACUACUGAGCCUGAGCUCUAGAGCCCGCGUGCCACAACUACUGAAGCCCGCGCGCCUAGAGCCCGUGCUCUGCAACAAGAGAAGCCACAGCAAUGAGAAGCCUGCACACCGCAACAAAGAGUAGCCUCUGCUCACCGCAGCUAGAGAAAGCCCACGCGCAGCAACGAAGACCCAACACAGCCAAAACUUCCUCGGGACCUCCCUGGUGUUCCAGUGGUAAAGAAUCCGCCUUCCAAUGCAGGGGACGCGGCUUCCAUCCCUGGUUGGGGAACUAAGAUCCCACAUGCCCCUGGGCAACUAAGCCCAUGUGCCACAGCUAUUGAGCUUGCACACCUCAAUGAGAGAGUCGGCAAACUACAGAGUCCAUGUGCCCUGGAGCCCGCGCGCCACAACUAGAGAGAGAAAACCCGCACACCACAACUAGAGAAAAGCCUGAGCCACAAUGAAAGAUCCCACAUGCCUCAACGGAGACCCUGCGUGCUGCAACUACGACCCAAUGCAGCCAAAAAAAAUAAAGAAAAUAAAUAAAUAAAUAAUUUUAAAAUUGAUGAUCAUCUGAUUUAAAAAAAACCCAGCUUCUUCACAAGAAAAAUGCAACAAAAAUUUUGAUGAAAAUCGGGAAAAUAAGGUGAAAAACAUAACUUACCAACAAAAUAUUAAAAAAAACAAAGUUGGUGCUCAGAUUUCCCGUGACGAGUGGUCAGAGGUGGUGAGUCGUUUUCAGACAAGUAAAUAGAAAACAGGUAAUCACUGCAGGGGAGGGCCAACGUGUGUUACUAAUGAAAGAAGUAAAGAUUCGGGCAAAGCAGAAAACAUUAUACUAUCAAUGAUGAAAACCAAUAAACCUGAAACUUUUGAAAUGGUUCUAUCAUUCGAACGGAGUCUGAACACUUUUCCCUAAACAUUGUUGAUAUGUAUCAGCUGAAAUACAUUUAAGUUCUCAUCCUACCUAAUCUUUCAGAAGGAACAAGUUCACAGUCAAUUGAAUAGAGAAGGUGGCAAGUCAUACAUAAAGUGGGGAAGGUGAGGGAGCAUAUUUCAACUUCUCAAAAUACCAGCAACUUAUUUUUUAUUAGGAGUUAGAGGCUUUAGGAAAAGUGACAAUUGAAAAAAAAAUAUUUUUUUCUUGUAAAGUCAUGUGGGAAUAUAUAACAAGAAUUUUUUUUUCUUUUUUUGGGGCACGCCACGCAGCAUGCAGGAUGUUAAUUCCCCCACCAGGGUUUGAACCUGCACCUCCUGUAGUGGAAGCACAGAGUCCUAACCACUGGACUGUCAGGGAAGUCCCUACAGCAAGAAUUGUAGGCCUUCCCUGGUGGCACAGUGGUUGAGAAUCUGCCUGCCAAUGCAGGGGACACGGGUUCGAGCCCUGGUCCGGGAAGAUCCCCCAUGCCGCGGAGCAGCUAAGCCCGUGCGCCACAACUACUGAACCUGUGCUCUAGAGCCCGCGAGCCGCAACUACUGAGCCCACGUGCCACAACUACCGAAGCCUGCGCGCCUAGAGCCGGUGCUCCACAACAAGAGAAGCCACCGCAGUGAGAAGCCCGCGCACCGCUACGAAGAGUAGCCCCCGCUCGCCGCAACUAUAGAAAGCCCAGAUGCAGCAACGAAGACCCAAUGCAGCCAAAAAUUAAAAAUAAUUAAUUAAAUAAAUAAUUAAUUAAUGGGCCCGUGGGCCAUGGCCGCUGAGCCUGCGCGUCCGGAGCCUGUGCUCCGCAACGGGAGAGGCCACAACAGUGAGAGGCCCGCGUACCGCAAAAAAAAAAAAAAAAGAAAAAAAAAUUGAUAUAUAGGAGUUCUUUAAAUAGUAAAAAAAUGAGCUCUUUGUCAUAUGUGUUAUAAAUAUUUUCUUUGGUUUUUCGCUUGUCUUUUGUCUUUGUUCAUCAUAUUUUCCUGCAGAAUUUUAAUAUUUAUGAAAUUAAAUAUGUGCAAUUAAAAUACAUAUGUACAUUUAUAUGUAUAUAUAUUAUGUAUAUCAUGAGUUUAUAUUACCAUCCAAAUCUGACAUCACAAAUUUUUUCCCCACCUUAUCUUAUUCCCUAUUGUAUCUUCCUUUUCCUAAAGAAAACCUUGUUCCCUGGAACAUUAAUGAAUUUACCCAUUACCCUACAAUAUACACAAGAUAGUUUUGGAGCUAUAUCACCAAUGCAACUACUAAAAAUAAACCUAUAAAUUUCAAUAUUUCUUUCUAGUUCUUUUUGUCCUUACAAUAUGUCCCACUAAUGGUAUAUUGUGUUAGUAAUUUCUUUUAAUAAGUUCCUUUCUCUGUGUCCAAUAGAAUCUCUUUUUUUUCUUUUUUUAACAUCUUAUUGGGGUAUAAUUGCUUUACAAUGGUAUGUUAGUUUCUGCUUAGAAUCUCUUUUUGAAAAUGUAAUUUAAUUCAUCGAUCUUUUUAAAAAAUGGUAUCUGGGUUUUGUGUCACACUUAGGAUAGCUUCUUCCACUAAGAUUAUGUAGAACUUUCCCCGUGUUUCUUUAAAUACUUUUAAUUUUUUAUUUUGCAUCCAACUGCUAUAAGGAAUACAAAAUUUAAUAGACUAGUAACAGAGGAGAAAAGAGAAUUUAAAAAACAAUUACUGGGACUUCCCUGGUGGUGCAGUGGUUAAGAAUCCACCUGCCAAUGCAGCGGACACGGGUUUGAACCCUGGUCCAGGAAGAUCCCACAUGCUGCGGAGCAACUAAGCUCAUGCACCACAACUACCGAGCCUGUGCUCUAGAUCCCGCAAGCCACAAGUACUGAAGUCCGCGCACCUAGAGCCCGUGCUCCACAACAAGAGAAGCCACCGCAGUGAGAAGCCCGUGCACCGCAAUGAAGAGUAGCCCCCACUUGCCACAACUAGAGAAAGCCUGUGUGCCUCAACACACACACACACACACACAAACAAAACAAAACAAACAGUUACUAAUAGCUACAAAGUAUAGACAAGACAGACUUCCGGUCUUGCAGAACCAAGAUAGUGAUGACGUGAGCAGAGCAGGGAUCUGGGCUGGGGAAGCAGGUUCCCCUGCCAGGAGUAGGAGGAUAGGGAAAGAGCUCUGUCUCAGGAAUGGAUCAGGCCUGGGAAACGUGACACUAUGAUAACACAGGUGUGACUUCUAAGCAUUCUGAUGUGUAAAAGGAUUUUGGGG